GACGAACGCUGGCGGCGUGCCUAAUACAUGCAAGUAGGACGCAGUUGCGAACGGGUGAGUAACGCGUAGGUAACUACCUAUUAGAGGGGGAUAACUAUUGGAAACGAUAGCUAAUACCGCAUACUAGUAGAUGGACCUGCGUUGUAUUAGCUAGUAGGUAGGGUAAUGGCCUAACUAGGCAACGAUACAUAGCCGACCGUAGAUGGGUAUCGGCCAACCUGGGACUGAGACACGGCCCAGGAUCCCUCGGCAGGAAGCAGUAGGGAAGCUUCGGAAAUGGGGGGAACCCUGACCGAGCAACGCCGCGGUAGUGAAGAAGGUGUUCGGAUCGUAAAGCUCUGUUGUUAAGGAAGCGGUACUUAACCAGAAAGGGACGGCUAACUACGUGCCAGCAGCCGCGGUAAUAC
rnacentral:rRNA from 1 species